CCUCUUGGUAAGGUAUCUUCAGAGCAGAAUUCCAGAUUCCCCCUCACCAAGACAAGAUGGGAAGGCAUGAUGGCCAAUGACAUGUUACAUGCAGGCAUUAAGCACAAAAGGAAGCUCAAGCCCAGCCCGUGUGUGUGUAUUUAUUGGAGGGAUCACAAGCUGGCCAUGUUUCAGGGGGUUGGAUGGGUGUACUACUGCGGUGAACUAGAAUCCCUGCAAGCAGCUGAGAUAAGAAGUCAUUAGUAGAUUUUUUUGUUUGUUUUUUUGUUUUUUUGGAGCAUAAAAGGUCUGAAAUAGGUUGUAUGGUUUCUGGUAUUAGAUGCAUGUAUGGAUUAUGAUGGAAUGCGGGGGGAUCAUCAGAGUACUAGCAGUAGAAUUUUAAAAUAUUGUUACAUAAAGAAGCAUGCAAAUGGGUUUAAAAUAAUUAUACUUCUGGAGUCGAAUGUCGCCUUCUUGGGAGAGAUUGAGAUCACAAACGCAGGCAGCCUUCUGAAAAUUAUUAUCUCCAGCUGCUUCAAUCCACGUACCUUUUUUAUACAACUUCAUUUGAUUUUGAAUCUCCACCAACCGUAGGUUGAAGGAAUGUUUUACUAGAAAAACUUGUUUCACGAGUCUUUUUUUUUUCUUUCUUUUUUUGUAGAAAGAAAACCGUAGCUUUGCUUGUGCGUGGGAAACCCUAGGGUGCCUUCUCUCCUCCAUAAGAGUAUUGCUUCUCUGCUUGCGGGGCUUCCAGGUGAAUUAGUAUCCAAGAUUUUGAGGAUAACUGUGGUGGAUGGGGCCUACCACCAGGAUCAAGUUGGUUGGCGUGAUGGCUGUCAUCCUAAGGUGCAGGUCUCCUCUGUUAAAUGAAGGUCAAACUGCAAGUUCCUUCUCGAAUUCAAGCAUUUCUAUGGAGACCAGCUCGUCAAUGUUUCGAGCCGAGGAGGAUUAGGUUCAUCAACAUACAUUGGCUGUGACAAAUCAGAUGAGGAUCUGGACGGCAAUUAUGGUGCAGAAACAUGCUCCAAGGCAUUGGGAAUAGACUGCAAGCAUAACUUAUUGCCAUCAUGCAAUCCAAUUCAUGCAGCAAGAUAAUUAUGGUAUCUUCAGAAUAUCCAACUGUUUCAACAGAUGGAUCACAAUAUAGGCAAUCUGGUUCGCUCCCCAGUGGUGAUAGUCGAUAAUUUCAAGCCUGUACAAGGUCUCCAUCACUAUACAGGAUUGCUUGACAACAUCCCUAUCUGGGGUAGUCCUUCCCCCUCAUCGUUCACCUUGUUCUACUGUUCAUGAGGUGCUCUGGGUUUCCCCACUUGAAGGUGUUCUUCAGAUUAACUUUGAUGGUUCUCUCAAGCAGAAUGGCAAGGCUGGAGCAGCGUCGCCGCAACUAGAUGCCUAAGGCAUGCAGAUUGCAUGGAACGUCCAUUUGGAUUUGGAUAGAGGGUGACUUCCUCACAGCUACUUCAUGUACUAAUAGGCAGAAAGCAUCCUCAACCUCAACUCAUCAUUGGUUAAAGGGUGUUACCAGAUUCCAUUACUGAUUUCUGGUGCUCGCACAUUCCUCGUAAGGGAAAUCAGGUGGCUGGUAGGACGGUUCCUCUAGCUACUGAUCUGUAUUCCCCAUUGUCUGGGAUCACAAUUUUCAACUGGUCCAAAUGCAUGCUCUACUUGAUACCUCUGGACAAACACCAAAGUGGAUAUGUAAUCUUAUACUCAGAUACCAGACCCCUCAUUUUACUCCAACAAAAAUAAUCAGGUUCAAAAAUGUCGUCUUGUAAUUUGCUCAUAGAUUUGCCCUGUAAAAGUGCAGAACAGAGGCGAUGAAUUGGGUACACAGCCAUGAUAUGCCAAAUGGAAAGGAACUGAGAAAUAGAAGAGGCUUGCCUUCACCAAGCGAAGCUUGUUCUUCGCUUGUAUAAUCCAACGGUAACUGCAGAUGAUUCUUUUUCAGCAACAGAUCUAGAUCUCUUCUGAAGCGCAUCUUACCAACUGGAAAUAUUCUCUCUUGGCCUUCCCAUGGCACCUUCCACCGUCUACUGAAGUCGGCACUCAAGAUGCAAUCUUCUGAAUUUAAGAAGCACCUCAACAAUGGCCAGUCCCAAAUCAUGAUGCAGAUUUAUGAGCACGAUAAUCACGACAAACAUCAACAUCUACGAUUUGCAACAAUGGAAUAUCGACAACCAUAAUAGAGUAGAUUGAUGUUGUGACUUCAGUGAAGUGCCAUAAUAGAGAAAUAUCGACAGCCAAAUCAAUGGAAAGAACAUCAUGCAUUUCUUCCGCAA